GACGAACGCUGGCGGCGUGCUUAACACAUGCAAGUCGAACGCUGAAGCCCAGCUUGCUGGGUGGAUGAGUGGCGAACGGGUGAGUAACACGUGAGUAACCUGCCCCCUUCUUUGGGAUAACGCCCGGAAACGGGUGCUAAUACUGGAUAUUCACUGGCCUUCGCAUGGGGGUUGGUGGAAAGGUUUUUUCUGGUGGGGGAUGGGCUCGCGGCCUAUCAGCUUGUUGGUGGGGUGAUGGCCUACCAAGGCUUUGACGGGUAGCCGGCCUGAGAGGGUGACCGGUCACAUUGGGACUGAGAUACGGCCCAGACUCCUACGGGAGGCAGCAGUGGGGAAUAUUGCACAAUGGGCGAAAGCCUGAUGCGGGCGACGCCGCGUGAGGGAUGACGGCCUUCGGGUUGUAAACCUCUUUCGCUCAUGGUCAAGCCGCAGCUUUGGGUUGUGGUGAGGGUAGUGGGUAAAGAAGCGCCGGCUAACUACGUGCCAGCAGCCGCGGUAAUACGUAGGGCGCGGAGCGUUGUCCGGAAUUUAUUGGGCGUAAAGGGCUUGUAGGCGGGUUGGUCGCGUCUGCCGUGAAAUCCUCUGGCUUAAACUGGGGGCGUGCGGUGGGUAAGGGGCUGAUUGGAGUGCGGUAGGGGAAACUGGAACUCCGUGGUGUAGCGGUGGAAUGCGCAGAUAUCAGGGAAGAACACCGGGUGCGAAGGGCGGGUCUCUGGGCCGUUACUGACCGCUGAGGAGCGAAAGCGUGGGGAGCGACAAGG
rnacentral:rRNA from 1 species